rnacentral:rRNA from 1 species
GACGAACGCUGGCGGCGUGCUUAACACAUGCAAGUCGAACGGAAAGGCCCUGCUUUUGUUGGGUGCUCGAGUGGCGAACGUGUGAGUAACACGUGAGUAACCUGCCCUUUACUUUGGGGUAACUUCAGGAAACUGGGGCUAAUACCUGCUAGGAGCUCCUGCUGCAUGGUGGGGGUUGGAACGUUUCGGCGGUUGGGGAUGGACUCGCGGCUUAUCAGCUUGUUGGUGGGGUAGUUGCUUACCAAGGCUUUGACGGGUAGCCGGCCUGAGAGGGUGACCGGCGACAUUGGGACUGAGAGACGGACCAGACUCGUACGGGAGGCAGCAGUGGGGAAUAUUGCACAAUGGGCGGAAGUCUGAGGCAGAAACGCCGGGUGCGUGAUGACGGCCUUGGGGUUGUAAACAGCUUUCGCCUGUGACGAAGCGUGAGUGACGGUAAUGGGUAAAGAAGCACCGGCUAACUACGUG